AGUGAACGCUGGCGGUAGGCCUAACACAUGCAAGUCGAACGGCAGCACAGUAAGAGCUUGCUCUUACGGGUGGCGAGUGGCGGACGGGUGAGGAAUACAUCGGAAUCUACUUUUUCGUGGGGGAUAACGUAGGGAAACUUACGCUAAUACCGCAUACGACCUACGGGUGAAAGCAGGGGAUCUUCGGACCUUGCGCGAUUGAAUGAGCCGAUGUCGGAUUAGCUAGUUGGCGGGGUAAAGGCCCACCAAGGCGACGAUCCGUAGCUGGUCUGAGAGGAUGAUCAGCCACACUGGAACUGAGACACGGUCCAGACCCCUACGGGAGGCAGCAGUGGGGAAUAUUGGACAAUGGGCGCAAGCCUGAUCCAGCCAUACCGCGUGGGUGAAGAAGGCCUUCGGGUUGUAAAGCCCUUUUGUUGGGAAAGAAAAGCAGCAGGUAAAUACCCCGAUGUUCUGACGGUACCCAAAGAAUAAGCACCGGCUAACUUCGUG
rnacentral:rRNA from 1 species